GACUAGUCUGGUUCAGGUCAGCACAUCUUAUGACUAACUAACCUGGUUCAUGUCAGCACAUCUCAUGACUAACUAAUCUGGUUUAGGUCAGCAUAUCUCAUGUCUGAUCUAUCCUAGUUCAAAUCAGCACAUCUCAUGCCUGAUCAAUUUGAUUGAGGUUAGCACAUCUCAUGUCUGAUCCAACCUAGUUGGCAUGGGUGAACUCGAAUGACCAAGCAAACUUACUCAAGACAUGAUCAACCAAUUGACCAGAUAAGUG
rnacentral:lncRNA from 1 species